CCUACGGGAGGCAGCAGUAGGGAAUCUUUCACAAUGGGCGAAAGCCUGAAGGAGCAACGCCGCGUGCAGGAUGAAGGCCUUCGGGUUGUAAACUGCUUUUAUAAGCGAGGAAUAUGACGGUAACCUAUGAAUAAGGAGCGGCGAACUACGUGCCAGCAGCCGCGGUCAUACGUAGGAGCCGAGCAUUAUCCGGAGUGACUGGGUGUAAAGAGUUGCGUAGGUGGGAUAAUAAGUAGCUAGGGAAAUCUGGUGGCUAAACCAUUCAGACUAUUAGCUAAACUGUUAAGCUCGUGAGCGUGAGGGGUAACUGGAAUUUCUGGUGUAGGAGUGAAAUCCGUAGAUAUUA
rnacentral:rRNA from 1 species